rnacentral:rRNA from 1 species
AUUGAACGCUGGCGGCAGGCCUAACACAUGCAAGUCGAGCGGAAACGAUGGAAGCUUGCUUCCAGGCGUCGAGCGGCGGACGGGUGAGUAAUGCAUGGGAAUCUGCCCGAUAGUGGGGGAUAACCUGGGGAAACCCAGGCUAAUACCGCAUACGUCCUACGGGAGAAAGCAGGGGAUCUUCGGACCUUGCGCUAUCGGAUGAGCCCAUGUCGGAUUAGCUUGUUGGUGAGGUAAUGGCUCACCAAGGCGACGAUCCGUAGCUGGUCUGAGAGGAUGAUCAGCCACAUCGGGACUGAGACACGGCCCGAACUCCUACGGGAGGCAGCAGUGGGGAAUAUUGGACAAUGGGCGAAAGCCUGAUCCAGCCAUGCCGCGUGUGUGGAGAAGGCCCUCGGGUUGUAAAGCACUUUCAGUGGGGAAGAAAGCCUUGGGAUUAAUACUCCCGAGGAAGGACAUCACCCACAGAAGAAGCACCGGCUAACUCCGUGCCAGCAGCCGCGGUAAUACGGAGGGUGCGAGCGUUAAUCGGAAUUACUGGGCGUAAAGCGCGCGUAGGCGGUCUGAUAAGCCGGUUGUGAAAGCCCCGGGCUCAACCUGGGAACGGCAUCCGGAACUGUCAGGCUAGAGUGCAGGAGAGGAAGGUAGAAUUCCCGGUGUAGCGGUGAAAUGCGUAGAGAUCGGGAGGAAUACCAGUGGCGAAGGCGGCCUUCUGGACUGACACUGACGCUGAGGUGCGAAAGCGUGGGUAGCAAACA